GACGAACGCUGGCGGCGUGCCUAAUACAUGCAAGUCGAACGAACUCUGGUAUUGAUUGGUGCUUGCAUCAUGAUUUACAUUUGAGUGAGUGGCGAACUGGUGAGUAACACGUGGGAAACCUGCCCAGAAGCGGGGGAUAACACCUGGAAACAGAUGCUAAUACCGCAUAACAACUUGGACCGCAUGGUCCGAGUUUGAAAGAUGGCUUCGGCUAUCACUUUUGGAUGGUCCCGCGGCGUAUUAGCUAGAUGGUGAGGUAACGGCUCACCAUGGCAAUGAUACGUAGCCGACCUGAGAGGGUAAUCGGCCACAUUGGGACUGAGACACGGCCCAAGCUCCUACGGGAGGCAGCAGUAGGGAAUCUUCCACAAUGGACGAAAGUCUGAUGGAGCAACGCCGCGUGAGUGAAGAAGGGUUUCGGCUCGUAAAACUCUGUUGUCAAAGAAGAACAUAUCUGAGAGUAACUGUUCAGGUAUUGACGGUAUUUAACCAGAAAGCCACGGCUAACUACGUGCCAGCAGCCGCGGUAAUACGUAGGUGGCAAGCGUUGUCCGGAUUUAUUGGGCGUAAAGCGAGCGCAGGCGGUUUUUUAAGUCUGAUGUGAAAGCCUUCGGCUCAACCGAAGAAGUGCAUCGGAAACUGGGAAACUUGAGUGCAGAAGAGGACAGUGGAACUCCAUGUGUAGCGGUGAAAUGCGUAGAUAUAUGGAAGAACACCAGUGGCGAAGGCGGCUGUCUGGUCUGUAACUGACGCUGAGGCUCGAAAGUAUGGGUAGCAAACAGGAUUAGAUACCCUGGUAGUCCAUACCGUAAACGAUGAAUGCUAAGUGUUGGGAGGGUUUCCGCCCUUCAGUGCUGCAGCUAACGCAUUAAGCAUUCCGCCUGGGGAGUACGGCCGCAAGGCUGAAACUCAAAGGAAUUGACGGGGGCCCGCACAAGCGGUGGAGCAUGUGGUUUAAUUCGAAGCUACGCGAAGAACCUUACCAGGUCUUGACAUACUAUGCAAAUCUAAGAGAUUAGGCGUUCCCUUCGGGGACAUGGAUACAGGUGGUGCAUGGUUGUCGUCAGCUCGUGUCAUGAGAUGUUGGGUUAAGUCCCGCAACGAGCGCAACCCUUAUUAUCAGUUGCCAGCAUUAAGUUGGGCACUCUGGUGAGACUGCCGGUGACAAACCGGAGGAAGGUGGGGAUGACGUCAAAUCAUCAUGCCCCUUAUGACCUGGGCUACACACGUGCUACAAUGGAUGGUACAACGAGUUGCGAACUCGCGAGAGUAAGCUAAUCUCUUAAAGCCAUUCUCAGUUCGGAUUGUAGGCUGCAACUCGCCUACAUGAAGUCGGAAUCGCUAGUAAUCGCGGAUCAGCAUGCCGCGGUGAAUACGUUCCCGGGCCUUGUACACACCGCCCGUCACACCAUGAGAGUUUGUAACACCCAAAGUCGGUGGGGUAACCUUUUAGGAACCAGCCGCCUAAGGUGGGACAGAUGAUUAGGGUG
rnacentral:rRNA from 1 species